ensembl:lncRNA
GUGAGACUGAGGAAGAGGGAGGAUAGAGGAUACAGAGGAGGGGUGAGGGGGGUAAAGCAGCUCUAACAUCUGGAUUAUAUUACCCGCUGCUGGGAAAAUGUGAAGAGGAAGUUUUUUUCCCCGGGUGAGAGCGUCGGUGGCGGCGCGAUACGCCACACAUAACCACUUGAGCGGCGAGGAGCGGGGCACGCCGGCUCCCUACGGAGAACAGAUGGCUGCUGGAACUUCAAUACAAUUACAUCAAUAACACAGAAUAACAGUGUUCUGAGACACCGGUGCUGUGCCACCAGGCUCCCCGCGGCUCGCUAGACACACGACCACUCCUCUCAUCGCUCCUCUCUCUGCUUCUCCCUCUGCUCUCCUUCCUUCGCUGUCUUUUCUCAGCUACUCUCCCCUACCUUCUGCUUGCUCUCUAAUCUGUCCCAUCUCUUUUAUCUCUCCUCUCUCUUGUCACCUCUGCUCGCUCCUCUCCUCUCUCCUCUUUCCUCUCUUCUCUCUGAUCUUUCCUCUCUCCUCCCACCUCUCUCCUCCCUCCACUGUUGAUCCGUCCUUUAGACACACACACACACACACACAUAUAUGCACACAUGCAAACAUGCACAGGCAACACAUGUUUGUUUUGUUUGUUUGUGUUCAUGUUAGCUCAGCUGCUACACGUGUCCUUAUAUAGGUUCUCAAGUCACAUUGAGAUCAACAUUCAUACAAAUAGAUAAGCUUGUUUGCAUACCUGUUGUGUGUGUAUGUGUGUGUGUGUGUGUGUGUGUGUGUGUGUGUGUGUGUGUGUUGGGUAGGUGUGUGUUUGUGUGCUUGUACGUGUGAGUGUGUGCUACGUGUGUACUCACCCUUUCAUUAGUAAGAGGUUUAAACCCUUUAAAGCCUCUGAACCCUAAAUCAGCUCAAGAUGAAGUGAAGUCUGUUCUUGAUUUUCCCAUACUGUCUGGCGCGUACACCUACAAACCCAUACAUACAAACACAAAAACUCACACACACACACACACACACGCACACACACACACACACACACACACACAC